rnacentral:rRNA from 1 species
UGGGGAAUUUUGGACAAUGGGGGAAACCCUGAUCCAGCCAUCCCGCGUGUGCGAUGAAGGCCUUCGGGUUGUAAAGCACUUUUGGCAGGAAAGAAACGUCGCGGGUUAAUACCCCGCGAAACUGACGGUACCUGCAGAAUAAGCACCGGCUAACUACGUGCCAGCAGCCGCGGUAAUACGUAGGGUGCAAGCGUUAAUCGGAAUUACUGGGCGUAAAGCGUGCGCAGGCGGUUCGGAAAGAAAGAUGUGAAAUCCCAGAGCUUAACUUUGGAACUGCAUUUUUAACUACCGGGCUAGAGUGUGUCAGAGGGAGGUGGAAUUCCGCGUGUAGCAGUGAAAUGCGUAGAUAUGCGGAGGAACACCGAUGGCGAAGGCAGCCUCCUGGGAUAACACUGACGCUCAUGCACGAAAGCGUGGGGAGCAAACAGGAUUAGAUACCCUGGUAGUCCACGCCCUAAACGAUGUCAACUAGCUGUUGGGGCCUUCGGGCCUUGGUAGCGCAGCUAACGC